rnacentral:rRNA from 1 species
AAGCAGAGGGGGCUUAGUGGUGGGGUGACUGCGUACCUUUUGUAUAAUGGGUCAGCGACUUAUAUUCUGUAGCAAGGUUAACCGAAUAGGGGAGCCGGAGGGAAACCGAGUCUUAAUUGGGCGUUAAGUUGCAGGGUAUAGACCCGAAACCCGGUGAUCUAGCCAUGGGCAGGUUGAAGGUUGGGUAACACUAACUGGAGGACCGAACCGACUAAUGUUGAAAAAUUAGCGGAUGACCUGUGGCUGGGGGUGAAAGGCCAAUCAAACCGGGAGAUAGCUGGUUCUCCCCGAAAGCUAUUUAGGUAGCGCCUCGUGAAUUCAUCUCCGGGGGUAGAGCACUGUUUCGGCUAGGGGGCCAUCCCGGCUUACCAACCCGAUGCAAACUGCGAAUACCGGAGAAUGUUAUCACGGGAGACACACGGCGGGUGCUAACGUCCGUCGUGAAGAGGGAAACAACCCAGACCGCCAGCUAAGGUCCCAAAGUCAUGGUUAAGUGGGAAACGAUGUGGGAAGGCCCAGACAGCCAGGAUGUUGGCUUAGAAGCAGCCAUCAUUUAAAGAAAGCGUAAUAGCUCACUGGUCGAGUCGGCCUGCGCGGAAGAUGUAACGGGGCUAAACCAUGCACCGAAGCUGCGGCAGCGAACGUAUCACCCAAGACAACUUUACGGAGUUGACGAUUGACGGAGCGAAGCGACGUCAAAGCGUUCAUUAAAGUCGAGUUGGCUUAGGGAUACGUUCGUUGGGUAGGGGAGCGUUCUGUAAGCCUG